rnacentral:rRNA from 1 species
AGACGAAAGUCUGACGGAGCAACGCCGCGUGAGUGAAGAAGGUUUUCGGAUCGUAAAACUCUGUUUUCAGGGACGAAUGUGCGAUAUGUGAAUAAUGUGUUGUAAUGACGGUACCUGACAAGAAAGCCACGGCUAACUACGUGCCAGCAGCCGCGGUAAUACGUAGGUGGCAAGCGUUGUCCGGAAUUAUUGGGCGUAAAGCGCGCGCAGGUGGGAUAAUAAGUCUGAUGUUAAAGUUCGGGGCUCAACCCCGUGAAGCAUUUGGAUACUGUUAUUCUUGAGUGCAGGAGAGGAAAGUGGAAUUCCUAGUGUAGCGGUGAAAUGCGUAGAUAUUAGGAGGAACACCAGUGGCGAAGGCGACUUUCUGGACUGUGUCUGACACUGAGGCGCGAAAGCCAGGGUAGUGAACGGGAUUAGAUACCCCGGUAAUCCUGGCCGUAAACGAUGGGUACUAGGUGUUGGGGGUAUCGACCCCUCCAGUGCCGGAGUUAACGCAAUAAGUACCCCGCCUGGUGAGUACG